UACGUAGGGCGCAAGCGUUGUCCGGAAUUAUUGGGCGUAAAGAGCUCGUAGGCGGUUUGUCGCGUCUGCUGUGAAAACCUGAGGCUCAACCUCGGGCUUGCAGUGGGUACGGGCAGACUAGAGUGCGGUAGGGGUGACUGGAAUUCCUGGUGUAGCGGUGGAAUGCGCAGAUAUCAGGAGGAACACCGGUGGCGAAGGCGGGUCUCUGGGCCGAUAACUG
rnacentral:rRNA from 1 species